CCGCGGUAAUACGUAGGGUGCGAGCGUUAAUCGGAAUUACUGGGCGUAAAGCGUGCGCAGGCGGUUUGAUAAGCCAGAUGUGAAAUCCCCGAGCUCAACUUGGGAACUGCGUUUGGAACUGUCAGACUAGAGUGCGUCAGAGGGGGGUGGAAUUCCGCGUGUAGCAGUGAAAUGCGUAGAGAUGCGGAGGAACACCGAUGGCGAAGGCAGCCCCCUGGGAUGACACUGACGCUCAUGCACGAAAGCGUGGGGAGCAAACAGGAUUAGAUACCCUGGUAGUCCACGCCCUAAACGAUGUCAAUUAGCUGUUGGGGGUUAGAAUCCCUGGUAGCGUAGCUAACGCGUGAAAUUGACCGCCUGGGGAGUACGGCCGCAAGGUUA
rnacentral:rRNA from 1 species